rnacentral:tRNA from 1 species
GGCACGGCGACGUGCUCGGCGGCGUCGUGGCCUGCUCGGACGCGCGGGCAGCGGCGUUGCGGCAGGUCCGGAUCAUCACCGGUGCCGUGCUGC